rnacentral:rRNA from 1 species
UACAGAGGUCUCAAGCGUUGUUCGGAUUCAUUGGGCGUAAAGGGUGCGUAGGCGGCGCGGUAAGUCGGGUGUGAAAUCUCGGGGCUUAACUCCGAAACUGCAUUCGAUACUGCCGUGCUUGAGGACUGGAGAGGAGACUGGAAUUCCCGGUGUAGCGGUGAAAUGUGUAGAGAUCGGGAGGAACACCGGUGGCGAAGGCGGGUCUCUGGGCAUCUCCUGACGCUGAGGCGCGAAAGCGUGGGGAGCAAACGGG